rnacentral:misc_RNA from 1 species
UGGCUCUCGCAUCGAUGAAGAACGCAGCGAAAUGCGAUAAGUAAUGUGAAUUGCAGAAUUCAGUGAAUCAUCGAAUCUUUGAACGCACCUUGCGCCUCUUGGUAUUCCGAGAGGCAUGCCUGUUUGAGUGUCUUAUAAAAUCAAUCCCCACGGGUUUCUUGACCUGGCGGUGGACUUGGAGUUGGGCGUCUGCCGGUCACACGGCUCGCCUUAAAGACCUUAGUGGGAUCAUCGGCCUAUGGCUUGACGUAAUAAGUUUCGUCUCGUCCGGCCCCUCGAGCCCGCUCACAACCCGCCCUCGGGCAACUACUUUAUGCUAGACCUCAAAUCAGGUAGGACUACCCGCUGA